GAGACAUCCCUAUGGAGCGGGACUUGCUUCAGUGGGACGUUGGUGCUUACUGAGUUUGCCCCUUGAGUGUGUUGCU
rnacentral:pre_miRNA from 1 species